ACAGGAUGUCUGUCCACCCCUCCAUGGUGAUGCACUGGAAGACGGUGAGCACGGGCUAUGGCUCAUCUAUGGGGUUUCUAUGGGGCUAGCUAUGGGGGCAGCUUAUGGGGUUUCUAUGGGCAGGGACUCAUCUAUGGGGUUCUUGGGGUUUCUAUGGGGCAGCUAUGGGUCAGGGCUCAUCUAUGGGGUUUCUAUGGGGUUCCUAUGGGGCAGCUAUGGGGCAGCUAUGGGGCAGCUAUGGGGUUCCUAUGGGGCAGCUAUGGGUCAGGGCUCAUCUAUAGGGUUCCUAUGGGGUUCCUAUGGGGCAGCUAUGGGUCAGGCUCAUCUAAUAGCGGUUCCUAUGGGUUCCUAUGGGCAGAUUAUGGGCAGGGCUCAU
rnacentral:lncRNA from 1 species